rnacentral:rRNA from 1 species
UAGGGAAUCUUCCGCAAUGGACGAAAGUCUGACGGAGCAACGCCGCGUGAGUGAAGAAGGAUUUCGGUUCGUAACACUCUGUUGUUAGGGAAGAAAAAAUGUAUAGUAACUAUAUACAAAAGAGACGGUACCUAACCAGAAAGCCACGGCUAACUACGUGCCAGCAGCCGCGGUAAUACGUAGGUGGCAAGCGUUGUCCGGAAUUAUUGGGCGUAAAGCGCGCGCAGGUGGUUUAGAAAGUCUGAUGUGAAAGCCCACGGCUCAACCGUGGAGGGUCAUUGGAAACUAAUAAACUUGAGUGCAGGAGAGAAAAGUGGAAUUCCUAGUGUAGCGGUGAAAUGCGUAGAGAUUAGGAGGAACACCGGUGGCGAAAGCGGCUUUUUGGCCUGCAACUGACACUGAGGCGCGAAAGCGUGGGGAGCAAACAGG